rnacentral:misc_RNA from 1 species
AAAAUGUGAAUCUAGUUACUUACGUUCCACUCUGCACUGCAGGCAUUGGCCACGUCCUUCAAACCACCUGGAAAUUUCACACCUAAGGCUUCAUGUUUCUUCUUGUAAUCGAGCAUGAAGAAGCUAAAGGCAUUUCGGGUUUGCUUUUUCUGUGGCAUUUUAUACCGUAAAUUUUUCUGUCUGUAUGAUCACAAAGUUAACUUCGCGUAGUUUGCUUAUUUUUCAAAUUCUCAUCAGUUUUUGUCAUUUGAAAAAGAUAGAAUUCUACAAUAAAGUCUUAUACUAUUUUAACAAAUCUGCAGCUUUUGAUCCGCACCAAAUUACGCCGGGAGCGUUGGUGUGCGAAAGUUUAAGUUUGAAAAUGCACAACGUAAGACCGCCAAAUAUCACACGUAUAUUCACCAUCAGUCUUGCAUUUACCCCAGAAAAAUACACGAGAAAAAAAUGCAAAGAAAUUAAUUCGUUUGAUACUUUGGAACUACGGUAGUUUU